rnacentral:rRNA from 1 species
UACGGGGGGGCCAGCGUUGUUCGGAAUUACUGGGCGUAAAGGGCUCGUAGGCGGCCAACUAAGUCGGAUGUGAAAUCCCCAGGCUUAACCUGGGAACUGCAUCCGAUACUGGAUGGCUUGAAUCCGGGAGAGGGAUGCAGAAUUCCAGGUGUAGCGGUGAAAUGCGUAGAUAUCUGGAGGAAUACCGGUGGCGAAGGCGGCAUCCUGGACCGGCAUUGACGCUGAUGAGCGAAAGCUAGGGGAGCAAACGGG